GCCUGGCUAGCUCAGUCGGUAGAGCAUGAGACUUAAUCUCAGAGUUGUGGGUUCAAGCCCCAUGUUGGGCU
rnacentral:tRNA from 2 species